rnacentral:rRNA from 1 species
UACGUAGGGGGCCAGCGUUGCUCGGAAUUACUGGGCGUAAAGGGUUCGUAGGUGGUGCGGCAAGUUGGAAGUGAAAUCUCUGGGCUUAACCCAGAGGCUGCUUUCAAAACUGCCGCGCUCGAGUGCGAGAGAGGUCAGUGGAAUUGCAGGUGUAGCGGUGAAAUGCGUAGAUAUCUGGAGGAACACCGGUGGCGAAGGCGACAUCCUGGACCAAUACUGACGCUGA